rnacentral:rRNA from 1 species
AUUGAACGCUGGCGGCAGGCCUAACACAUGCGAGUCGAGCGGAUGAAGGGAGCUUGCUCCUGGAUUCAGCGGCGGACGGGUGAGUAAUGCCUAGGAAUCUGCCUGGUAGUGGGGGAUAACGUCCGGAAACGGGCGCUAAUACCGCAUACGUCCUGAGGGAGAAAGUGGGGGAUCUUCGGACCUCACGCUAUCAGAUGAGCCUAGGUCGGAUUAGCUAGUUGGUGGGGUAAAGGCCUACCAAGGCGACGAUCCGUAACUGGUCUGAGAGGACGAUCAGUCACACUGGAACUGAGACACGGUCCAGACUCCUACGGGAGGCAGCAGUGGGGAAUAUUGGACAAUGGGCGAAAGCCUGAUCCAGCCAUGCCGCGUGUGUGAAGAAGGUCUUCGGAUUGUAAAGCACUUUAAGUUGGGAGGAAGGGCAGUAAGUUAAUACCUUGCUGUUUUGACGUUACCAACAGAAUAAGCACCGGCUAACUUCGUG